UACGAAGGGGGCUAGCGUUGCUCGGAAUCACUGGGCGUAAAGCGCCCGUAGGCGGCUUGUUAAGUCAGGGGUGAAAUCCUGGAGCUCAACUCCAGAACUGCCUUUGAUACUGGCGAGCUUGAGUCCGGGAGAGGUGAGUGGAACUGCGAGUGUAGAGGUGAAAUUCGUAGAUAUUCGCAAGAACACCAGUGGCGAAGGCGGCUCACUGGCCCGGUACUGACGCUGAGGUGCGAAAGCGUGGGGAGCAAACAGG
rnacentral:rRNA from 1 species